rnacentral:tRNA from 1 species
CUGCCUCGUGGGUAGCGAGUACCUGCGGCGCUGGCAUUGUCGCUGCCUGCACGAAAGGAGCAACCGGCGGGGUCGCCAGCCGCGCGGCGGC